CAGUCAGUGCCAGGCACUGAAAGGGCUUUGCAGGGGUUGGAGUUGGUCUGUUCUGUUUUCUGCCUUCGUUGCACAGCUGUGUUUAAAAUGAAAGAUAGAGCCUGAUCCUUGUUUAAAUAAGGAGCGUUGCUCUGGCUCUGUGAAAGUCUUUGGUGGAUGGGAAGGCUGGGUGCAACGAAAGGACAGAAAAUGGGACGUGGGUGUGGAAUGCUUCCACCAUUAUCCAUCGCACAGGUAUCGGUUGCCUAGGACAGCUUAGGCACAAUGCGUUUGAUUCAUAUUAACUCAGCUGUGAUCUUAACCUCAUCUUAUGCAAAAAGAAAAGGAAAAGGUGAUGCUUUUAUCUGCUGAUGGCAUUUCUCUGCCUCUGAGUAUAUACCUGCAAAAUAAGGAUGAUACUUCACUGUAGUAAAUUACAGGACACUGAAAGCACUGCCAUUCAUCACAGUGCAUUGACGGCAACUUUGGUUGGAGAAAAACAUUUCCUGGAGGGGAAUUAUCUUGAGAAAACUCUGAUAUUUCUUAACAAGCAGAGCUGGUGCUGAGUUUCUGAGUAUCUCUGCAAAGUUUGCUGAUGAUUUACCAGGACGUAGAUCAAUUGCUCUGAAAGCAGUCGUCCCUACAAGACUUAAAUCCAAGUGCUGCUCCUUGACCAGUGACACCAUCUGUACAGAGUUUGGGAUUUGGCCUCCUACAGUUCUCCCAAGUGUCUUGAGCUGUCUGGUCAUCUGGCUGCCAUCAGUAAAGACAAACAUGUUGCAGCUCCAAUUCGGACACCCAGAGAGCUGGGUCGCCUUGGUGCAGUGCUGCUCCUCCAUCCCUGAGACUGCCUGUUAAUCCAUUUCUCUAUUUCGCUAUUUGAUUCUGUAAUCUUUUGGCUACAUUGCUUUCUAAAUUUGGGUCCAGUGAGUGAUGAGCUCUGGAGUUCAGUCUUAUCAUCUGUAAUGGAGGAAACACUUGGCUGAAGUGUUUGACAUGACUUAGUUCAAAAGAAAGAGCUUCAAAUUGAUGUUGGCUUAAUGGAGCCAAAGUGUCCCUCGAUACAGAUAUGGUAAAUGAGCUGGUGGCUUGUAUCCCAGUAACUCUCCUGCAUCAUCUGAGCUCUGUGGUUUAUAGAGACGUGCUUGUGUUUAUUUCUCUGGGACUAAUGUGGCCUGGUCUUAAAACUCCCUCGGAGUCCAAACAGUAAGGGUCUGGAAUGGAGAUUCCCAUCCAAACCCACCCGUUGCUUGGAGCCAUUUUCAGUUGUGAUGGCCUUGGGCCCAUCCAUUUUAAAAGGAGAUGGGAGGAUUGAUCUGCUUGGGUUCAGAGCAACCCCUUUCCUACAGGGUAGGACUUAAAGGGUCAUCUGCUAAAAAUAUGGAAUCGCACACGCUUUCUUGUAGCCUCAAACAAAGAGUGGGACCUCUCUGAGCCAUGCUUGGUUUCCUGAAGAGGUGGAUAUGAGUCAAGGGGGGAUUCGUUCCAAAAGGCAGGCUGCCCUGGGAGUGCGUGAGGCAGGAUAAUUCAAAAUAGAAAAGUCGUGCUUGUUUUUCUGAUUCAUCUUCCACCAAUUAAGCCAGAGCAGUAUCACAUUUGCUACAGAGGACUUCUUGAGCACUGGCCAAAGAGGCUCCUUAAAUGUUUCAUUUGAAAAAAGCAAUAAUAAUUCCCUUUUAUUUACCAAUUUUCCUCUUCAGUGUGGAUCUGACGGGGUCCUGGUCCUUACAGCAGGCAGUGGGAUGAGUCCUCACUCAGGGAAGCUCUUGGGCUUAUCAUGUCCUUAUAGCCAAUUACUUUCUGUGUGCAAGGUGCCAUAAAGUUGUACAAAAGCACUGUACAAAUAUCAAAUGUCAUUAUUAAGUAAAGAUUAAUUAUCUUUCUGCUUAGCUUUUUGUUUUG